UACGUAGGGGGCAAGCGUUGUCCGGAUUUAUUGGGCGUAAAGAGCGUGUAGGCGGUUUUACAGGCCCGCUGUGAAAACUCGAGGCUCAACCUCGAGCUGUCGGUGGAAACCGUAAGGCUAGAGUCCGGAAGAGGAGAGUGGAAUUCCUGGUGUAGCGGUGAAAUGCGCAGAUAUCAGGGAAGAACACCCGUGGCGGAAGGCGGCUCUCUGGGACGGUA
rnacentral:rRNA from 1 species